GUCUGCCUAUACCAGUCAGUGUGUGUGUGAGAGGGUCAUACAGAGCAAGGCUCUUCUGAGCAUCAGUCUCUCAGCUGUUGAUCAUGAAUAAACCACUAAUGAAAGAGAUGCACACUUUUGGGGAGCAGGAGACCAGUAACCAGUCGAGUCCCAGCAAGAAACCUACACCGCCAAAGCCUCAGAAUGCCAUCACCAUCGCCGUGUCCUCCCGUGCUCUCUUCAAUAUGGAUCGAGAGCAGGACAUUUAUGAGCAGCAGGGAAUGGAGGAUUACCUGAAAUAUCAGAUCCAACAUGAGAUCGAGCCAUUUGCACCCGGACCUGCAUUGCCCUUCAUUAAGGCAGUGGAGGCAGUGAACACUCGACUCAGGGAGCUUUAUCCAGACAGUGAAGAGCUCUUUGAUGUGGUUCUGAUGACCAGCAAUCAUGCUCAUGUGGGACUUCGGCUCAUAAAUUCAAUUAACCAUUACCAGCUAUUUAUAGAGCGCUUUUGUAUGACUGGUGGCAACAGUCUUAUUGGGUAUCUGAAAGCCUACCAUGCCAACCUUUAUCUGUCAGCUGAUUCAAUGAAAGUUAGAGAAGCCAUUGAAGAAGGAAUUGCAGCAGCAACAGUAUUCUCACCUGGAAAAAUCACAGAGUUGUCGGAGACUCAGCUGCGAGUGGCCUUCGAUGGAGAUGCCGUUCUCUUUUCAGAUGAGUCAGAGAUAAUCUACAAAGCCCACGGACUGGACAAGUUCUAUGAGCAUGAGAAAGCCCAUGAAAAUAAACCUCUUGAUCAUGGACCACUUAAGGGGUUCUUGGAAGCUCUAGGGAAGCUGCAGCAAAAAUUCUAUGCCAAAGGUCAGCGCCUGGACUGUCCCAUCCGCACCUAUUUGGUUACAGCUCGCAGUGCAGCCAGUUCAGGCACCCGGGCCCUCAAGACGUUACGCUCCUGGGGUCUGGAGACAGAUGAGGCCCUCUUCCUAGCAGGAGCCCCUAAAGGCCCCAUGCUGGAAAAGAUCAGACCUCAUAUCUUCUUUGACGAUCAAAUGUUCCACGUGAAGGGAGCGGCAGAACUUGGGACUGUGGCGGCUCAUGUUCCCUAUGGAAUUGCCCAGAAGAGUCAAUCAAAGACAGCGAGGGAUGUAAAAAAAGACAUGCCAGAGUGAAUACUGCUCUCCUCAUCCUGAGUGUGAAAGUUUAUAUAAGGUUUUAAAGGGAUGUUUCACCCCAAAAUUUAAAAUCUCUCAUCAUUUACUCCUAGAUUUACACAUCCAACCUGUGUGAGUUUAUUUCUUCUGUUCAGCCCAGAAGAUAUUCAGAAGAAAUGUUAGUAACCAAACAGCUGAUGGUAGCCAUUGACUUUCAUAGUAUGGAAAAAAUAAAAGUACUAUGGAAGUCAGUGGCUACCAGCCAUUUUUGAUAAUUAAAUAAAGUGUUAAAAUAACCAGUGUUGCUUUUCCAGCUUCCAAACAUAGGCCAGUUUGUUAGUGGCAGACCCUUUGCACUGAACAUCAUAGUUUUGAAGUUGUUUACUACAUUAUAUCAAGCCAUAAAAAAAGAAAACUAGGCAAUAGUUGGUAUUAUACUGUUGAGUUAAAUUGUUACACUUUCUGUUCUAAUGUAAUAGCAAAUGUUAUUUAUUUUAUUAUGCCAGAGUCUAGCUAAAGCUAAAAUGCACCAAAUGCGUGUUGGAUAUCAUAAAUAUAGCCUUUAGCCAUGCACAUUUUCAGCUUUUAUAUUAUAAUGGUCUGGUUUUGAAUCACCAUCUCUGUUCUUGUUUACUGUAAAGGGCUUUUUUACACUCUGUAUUGAAACCUUUAUGUGUGUUAAGACCUACAUCAGUUCUUCAGUGUUUAAAUCCAUCAGUGUUACACAUUUACACAUUGGUUCAUGUGUUUGUGAAAUCCUGUGUGUUACUCAGGGCAUGCUUAAGUCAGUGUUUUGCACUAAUCACCAUAUUAAACAGUGAAUAAACAGUA